rnacentral:rRNA from 1 species
UACGUAGGGUGCAAGCGUUGUCCGGAAUUAUUGGGCGUAAAGAGCUCGUAGGCGGUUUGUCGCGUCUGCUGUGAAAACUCGGGGCUUAACCCCGGGCCUGCAGUGGGUACGGGCAGACUAGAGUGCGGUAGGGGAGACUGGAAUUCCUGGUGUAGCGGUGAAAUGCGCAGAUAUCAGGAGGAACACCAAUAGCGAAGGCAGCUCGCUGGGACGUUACUGACACUGAGGCACGAAGGCCAGGGGAGCAAACGGG